rnacentral:rRNA from 1 species
AACACAAACCCCGGCGCUGAAUGCGUCAAGGAAUUUAAAAUUUGCUCUGAGCGCACCUGCAUGGCACCGGAGACGGUUUUCGUGCGGGUUGUGUUCUGACACAAUAUAUAGAAUGACUCUCGGCAACGGAUAUCUAGGCUCUUGCAUCGAUGAAGAACGUAGCGAAAUGCGAUACUUGGUGUGAAUUGCAGAAUCCCGUGAACCAUCGAGUCUUUGAACGCAAGUUGCGCCCGAUGCCAUUAGGUUGAGGGCACGUCUGCCUGGGCGUCACAUAUCGAAGCCUCUCGCCAAUUUCCUAUAUUGAUAGGGGUAUUGUGCAGGGCGAAUGUUGACCUCCCGUGAGCUCUCAUGGUUGGUUGAAAAUCGAGACCUUGGUAGGGUGUGCCAUGAUAGAUGGUGGCUGUGUUACGCACGAGACCAAGUAAGUCAUGUGCUGCUCUAUUGAAUUUAGGCCUCUUUUACCCACAUGCGUUUCGAAACGCUCGUGAUGAGACCUCAGGUCAGGCGGGGCUACCCGCUGAAUUUAAGCAUAUCAAUAAGCGGAGGAAAAGAAACUAACAAGGAUUCC